rnacentral:lncRNA from 1 species
CCCCCCCCCCCCUCCAAACGUCAGAUGCUUUGCUACGUCCCUGAUGGUUGUAUUCGAAACCGAUGUCAGUUUAAGAUAUCCUUAGUCUGCUCUUCCAAAAACAAAAAAAGCAUACGAUUUGUAAGAAGAAUAUGUUCUGUGUUCAUGGGAUAUUUAGUACAAACGGGAUAAAAAGUAAAGAAAUUGAAGCAUACUGGCGAUUUUGCCGCAUUUUGACAGGCAUGCAAAGACAUUUGCGACAGAUGCCAGGUGAUACGUUGGCAAUUUCAUUCGAUUCCGAAUUCUGGGGGGAGGCAUUGAAAAUUUUAAGAACUUGAAGGGGGAGUUUCGAAAAUUUUCCAAUAACCUCAACAGGGCC